UACGUAGGGUGCAAGCGUUGUCCGGAAUUAUUGGGCGUAAAGAGCGCGCAGGCGGUCUAUCAAGUCAGAUGUGAAAUAUCCCGGCUUAACCGGGAGGGGUCAUUUGAAACUGGGAGACUAGAGUACAGCAGAGGAUAGCGGAAUUCCCGGUGUAGUGGUGAAAUGCGUAGAUAUCGGGAGGAACACCAGUGGCGAAGGCGGCUAUCUGGGCUGAAACUGACGCUGAGGCGCGAAGGCUAGGGGAGCGAAUGGG
rnacentral:rRNA from 1 species